rnacentral:rRNA from 1 species
GACGAACGCUGGCGGCGUGCUUAACACAUGCAAGUCGAACGAAGAGCGAUGGAAGCUUGCUUCUAUCAAUCUUAGUGGCGACCGGGUGAGUAACGCGUAAUCAACCUGCCCUUCAGAGGGGGACAACAGUUGGAAACGACUGCUAAUACCGCAUACGAUCUAAUCUCGGCAUCGAGGAUAGAUGAAAGGUGGCCUCUACAUGUAAGCUAUCACUGCAGGAGGGGAUUGCGUCUGAUUAGCUAGUUGGAGGGGUAACGGCCCACCAAGGCGAUGAUCAGUAGCCGGUCUGAGAGGAUGAACGGCCACAUUGGGACUGAGACACGGCCCAGACUCCUACGGGAGGCAGCAGUGGGGAAUCUUCCGCAAUGGACGAAAGUCUGACGGAGCAACGCCGCGUGAGCGAUGACGGCCUUCGGGUUGUAAAGCUCUGUUAAUCGGGACGAAAGGCCUUCUUGCGAAUAGUGAGAAGGAUUGACGGUACCGGAAUAGAAAGCCACGGCUAACUACGUG